CCCCUUCGGGGAGACGAAGGGGGUUCCCCUAAAGGGGAAGAACACACCCCUUUAGGGGAAGACUUUGGUUCCCCUUUAGGGGAUGACGAUGAAGACAACCCCGAAGGGUGACCAAAGGUUCCCCAAAGAAGAUGACAAGGAAGCCAAUCCGUAAGAGUAUUGUAGCUUAACUACGUAAAAUUCCCCUUUCGGGAAAGAAAAAGUAAAACCAUGUAGCAUUUCUAAAAACAUUUUUAACGAAUAGGCCCCCGCCAAAGCUACUCAUUAAAAUGGGCUUUGCUGAUCCUCCAAACUAUGUCUAGAUCCUAGUAAAACUGCCAAUAAUGUUUAGGUUGUUUUUUAUAACGUUUUAAUCCGUAAAAUAACUAAAAAAUUCUAUGGGGCGAAAACGAGAAAAUUCUUUACAAGUUUUUAUUUAUUAUUAAGUAUAUUUAUCAAGUAAUGGUACCUUAACUACGUUAAGCUACUAACCCGAAAGAUUGGAUUAUGUAUCAAUAACACUAAAUAAACAACUUUGGCAAAGCCAACGAGUAGCGUACGUUAUAAUACGUUAUAAAAAGUAAAGCCGCUUGUUUUUUGGCCAAGCGCUCUUGUCAUCGUAGUUUAGGAACUACGUUGCCCUAUAAUUUAAUAUAAUGCUAGGCUCAACACUAUGUAUGGUGAAAGCGCCUGCUCUGUACGUAGUUUGGGAUCUAGCUAAAUUUUGUAACAUAUCCAAGCUACGUUCGUCGCCCUUUCCCCGAAGGGGAUGACUUGCGAAGACUGACGGNCCCCUUCGGGGAAAGGUCUAACUUACAGGGUUAGUGCUGUGAGUAAAGCCGAAAGCCGGCGUUAAACUACGUUGCUAGAUGGUUUUUUAACAACUACCUCACAGCGUUGUAAACCGUUGCUACAACGAGGUGCUCUGCACCAAAAUGUUCCGUAAGCUAAUUAUUAUAUGAAUAAAGUUGUCCCCUUCGGUUCCUUGUCAUCUCCUUUGUUUUCCCCUUCUUGUUCUUCUUCUUCUUCUUCU
rnacentral:lncRNA from 1 species